GGCAUGUAGAAUACAACAACCAGCAUGGGUUUAUGAAAGGCAGGUCCUGCCUGACAAAUUUGAACCCCUUCUAUGACAAGUUGACUCGGGGGAUGAGGGAAAAGCUGUGAAUGUUGUCUACUUAGACUUCGGUAAAGCCUUUGACACCUUUUUCCACAUCAUUCUGAGAAACUGGCUGCCCAUGGCUUGGACUUGGUGUAAAAGGGUGUAUUUUACACUGAGUUAAAAGCUGGCUGGAGGGCCGAGCCUGAAGAGUGGUGGUGAAUGGAGUUACAUACAGAUGGUGGCCGGGCACAAGUUCCCCAGGGCUCAGUAUUGGGGCCAGUCCUGUUUAAUAUCUGUAUCAAUGACCUGGACAAGGGGUUUGAGUGCAUCCUUGGUAAAUUUGCAGAUGACACCAAGUUGCAGGGUGGGGAUGGGUGGCGGUCAAUCUGACUGACGGCAGGAGGCUCUGCAGAGGGAUCUGGGCAGGCUGGACAUAUGGGCCCAGGGCAAUUGUAUGAGGUUCAACAAGGCUCAGUGCUGGGUCCUGCCCUUGGGUCACAGCAACCCACGCAAUGCUACAGGCUCGGGGAACAGUGGCUGGAAAGUGCCUGGUGGGAAAGGACCUGGGGGUGCUGGUCGACACCCAGCUGAACAUGAGCCAGCAGUGUGCCCAGGGGGCCAAGAAGCCCAACAGCAUCCUGGCUUGUAUCCAAAACAGUGUGGCCAGCAGGACUGGGGAAGUGAUUGUCCUCCCAUACUCAGCACUGGUGAGGCUGCACCUCAAAUUCUGUGUUUAGUUUUGGGCCACUCACUACAAGAAAGACAUUGAGAUGCUGGAACGUGUCCAGAGAAGAGCAACGAAGCUGGUGAAGGGUCUAGAGAACAAGUCUGUGAGAAGCAGCUGAGGGAACUGGGGUUGUUUAGUCUGGAGAGGAGGAGGCUCAGGGGGGACCUUACUGCUCCCUACAGCUGCCUGAAAGAAGGCUGUGGGCAGGUGGGGGUCGGUCUCUUCUCCCAGAUAACAGGUGAUGGGGCAAGAGGAAAUGGCCUCAAGUUGCACCAGGGGAGGUUUAGGUUGGAUAUUAGGAAAAAUUUAUUCACUAAAGGUUUUGUCAAGCACUGGAACAGGCUGCCCAGAGAAGUGGUUGAGUCACCACCCCUGGAGGUAUUUAAAAGAUGUGGAGAUGUGGUGCUUAGGGACAUGGUUUAGUGGUAGACUUGGAAGUGCUAGGUUAACAGUUUGACUCAAUGAUCUUAAAGGUCUUUUCCAACCUAAAUAAUUCUAUGAUUCUAUGAUUCUCUUAACCUAUUAUAUUUUCCCUUAGUUCUCAUUCUUCCACUUUUGGCCUAUAGUGCUUCUCCUAGAAAAUGGAAAAAUCUGCUUUGGUUGGAGAUUCUUCUAAAACAAAUAAACCAACAAACUGCCAGCGCACCACAAAAUACUGGUUUUUUUUAUGCUGGGAAGGUUGCAAAAACCAUGUGUGCUGUGGAUGGGAGCCAGAGAAGUUCACACUUGCAAAUACACUGAAGAUGAUUACCAGAGUCUUGGACACCAGAAACUGAGAGGACAGUUCAUCAGUCCACGAAAAGCAGGAGAGUGGAUAAAUUCAUUUCCACAUGCAUCUGCUGGCAAAAUGGGCUGCUGCUGAAAGACCACCAGUAACCAUAAAUCCCUGCGAAGCUGUGGAGAUGGGCAGGAAUACUGGAAUCUUUCCUGAAGCUAUUUAAUAGUGCCUCUGUUAUAGGUAUGAUUCAGCAAGACCUGGAGACCUGGAUCUUCAGUCCUGAUACCUAGAAAAAAAUGCUCUCCACUGGCUACACAUCAAAGGGAAAGCCAACCCUCCAUAUGCAGGUUGAUCUCAGCUCCUUCUGGAUAUGUUUGUGAACUUACUAUGAUUGUGAAAGCUCAGUGUGAUUAUAAACAAUUCAGUACUUGCUAGUAGGUACAGAACAGCCAGAAUUUUAGAAAUUAAAUUAAAAAAAAACUAUGCUUUACAAUCGUGUUAGUUCUGCAUUGAAAAGAACAUAUUUAAGAUGGCAUAACUGCAGUUUAUGUGGGACAGCUAUUACAAGUAGAUAUUCAGUGUGCCAUAAGUUCUCUCACAGGAAUGCAUUUGAUAGGAUAGUGGGAAGAACCUUUUCAGACUUCAGUACAUUACAUAACCAGAAAACAGUAAUAAUAUUUAUUAAAAGGUUUGUCAUUUGUCUUUCAUUGAGAUUCUACUGACAAGAUCUAAACUAUGGCAUAAAGAUAAAGACUGCAAGCUGGUUUAUUUAUGUGGAAGAAAAAAAAAAUCAUACCCAGACGUAAACCAAUUACAAUGGCUUAAAUGAAAAUAAGUCACAUACUAAGCCUCUUCUGAAAAGAAAAAUAGUGUUUUCUUCAAGUAUCUGCACUGACAAAGCAAACAAAAAUACUUCUAUCAGCAAGGUAAUAAUGAGCAAAAUUGCAGUAUCAGAAUUUUCAGAUUUUGGUGAGAAAGGGCAUGAGAAACUCCAAGUAGAUGUGGUCUGUGCACAAACCUGAAUGCUUCCUAUUUUGUAGGUCAAAAUUCUGCCUAUGACAAACAUUCAGGCUGAUGCUGCAGGGCCCAGAGCAGCUAGACACUCUGCUUGCCGAAUCUUCCUGACAGAACUUGUCUCAUACCACCUAACGCUACUAAUGGCAUGAAAGUUCCAUGGGGCAGGACACAAUCUGCUACAAACCCCUGAUCUAUAGAAACAUGGAAGCACAUGUACAACUUUCGAUUCAUGAUCAGAUUCUGUGCAGUGCCAGGUCUGUUCUCUUAAACUACCCAUCCUGAGUUUGAGUUUUGCAAGAACUGACUUUUCACCUUUUGAUUUUGUAAAUGCAACAUAUCCGUCACCUGCAUUGCACAAUAUUUUCCCUGGAUGAAAGGGGAAAAAUCAAAGAUGUAAUAGGCCAUUUUUCAGAAGAGUACGUGUCUUCCUUUCUCUUCUCCAUGACUUAAUGCUAUUACUUUUCAAAAGAAUAGGGGCACGUAUCCAACAUCCCACAGCCCUGAGAGACUUUGCUAAGCAAACUGCUCCACUUUAUUGUUCUUCAGCAUCUCUGCAUAGCUGGAGCAGUAUGUGGCCUUGAGUCUGUUACUCAUCUCCCAUCUCUGUGUGUGAUCAUAGUCAUUCCUCAUCAGCGUUGAAAGGUACUGUCAGCGCAGCUAUGAUUUCUUUUUCGUUCCCUGCCUGACAAGCUUACAAUGGCAAAAGCUCUAGAUGUAAGAUCCAUUUGGCAAAAAUGUCAGAAUUGUCAAUGCAGCCAAAAGCAACUACUUUACAUUAAAAAUUCCCCUGUUGUUUUAACAGAGGUCCCUUGGAAAUCUGUGCUAGCAAACUCUCCCCAGUAGAGUAUAGGCUGGAUUUCACCUUCAUUUUUCCUUCCUUUCAUUACAGGGCCACUGUAUGACUAGAAUUUCAUACACAGAGCUGUGAGGUUCACAGCUACAUGGGGCACCCCAGCUCUUCUGCCCACCACCCUGCUGUAUGCCCCAGGAACGUGGGGCAGCACAUGCCCAGGAGGCUCUGCUCCCUGACCCUGUGCUACCAGAACCCAGACCAGGCUUGGCAGCUGAGGGAAGGAACACCCAGUAAACCUCAGUGGGACUUUCCACCACUGGCAAAUCCCUGGAAAGCUCUGCCAGCCUCCCAGUCACUCUUAGCAACAGGCUGUAGCAAGCCAGAUGUAGUAGUGUCUUUAUUAUGUUAAUAUGCAAGCUUUCAUAAAUGUGCUAUAAGGAAGGAGAUACAGUGAAAUAACAGGCAUGUAUUUGGCUCAGAAGGGCUUCUCUGCUACAUUCAGCCAUUAGUUCCAAAGCCAGCCUAACCUUUGGGAGAGCUGUCACAGCUCUGAGCAGUUACAAAGAUAAAGACUUUCUUUACAUUGCUUUUUCUUGGUGGUUUUACAUAGUACAUGCACCCCCAAUGAUUUUCUGUAACCCUUAGCUCCAAUAACCGACUCAACCAGGAUGUCAGCUUGUACCUAUCUGCUUUACUAAUGAAAUCACAUCUUUCACCAGCUCAGCAGCUGGUGAGAAAAUGGCUUUUGAAAUACAUCUUCACAAAGGGCAGGUGUAAAGGGUGGCUGAAAGCCACAUUAAUUUAGAGUUCGUGUAAGUCUAUGUGCAUAACAUCUCUGACAAGAACUAUUUAUUUAUAAACCUGUAAGAGGAAUAAAGAAUGCAGGCCAUUAGUACUGUGCAGUGGAGUUUAAACAUAGGGCAAGCAAGUAAGCUUUGAAAAAUAGUAUCCUUGGUGAUCUUCAGAUGUAAUUUGCUCAGUGGAAACGAGGAACAACCAGUAAGUCUCCUUCCAAGGCAACAUCCUCUUUACUCCCUGAAAGUAUCAGGACUUCCACCAGAAAAUCAGAACAAGGCACUUGCUGCCCUGUGGAUGUGCUGUGCUGCUCUCUCUGCCCAGGUCUUAGUCAUUACUCUUACUCAAAAGUCACCAAAAUGCUCUGUUGCCAUGUAAUCAUAAACUUGAGUGGUCUUGUAUCAAAUUACCCAUAAUCUGCUAUUGGGGUUAUCAGCUAUUUUCCAGAUGUAAUCAGGACUCUCUUUGAAAGUAAUGAAAUUAAUUAGGUUCACCAAUAAUGUGAGCAGUUUUCUAAUUAACCUCCUCCGUAGCAUGACAAAACACCGUUCUUGCUCUGUCCCAGUAACUCCUGCCCUAUAGAACUUCAGCAGCAUCCUGAGCUGGUACACCUGGGGAGAGACAUCAAGCACCUUAUUAUAAUUAGUAUUUUAUGACACUUAAAUUGGAAAUCUCUGACUAAUGGCAUUAACUGCCAUGAGAUAAAUGCUAUGAAGAACUAGACUUGGCCCAGGGAAUAUUGUUUACUUCUGCUGAGCAGCAGGGGUAAGGGGAGGCCUUGCUUAUAAGAAGCAAAAAUCAGAAAAGCAGCCACCUAAUUUCUUGUCAUUUGUCACUUCACAAAACACACUUGGAUGCUGCUCCUUUGUAUAAAUCAGGAAAAAAACAAACAACGAAUGCACAAGUCUGUUUAGGAAAAGCCAUCUAACAGUGCCCCAGUGCUGGGUGUAGGUGGCUUGUGACACCGUCUCUCCCUGUUGAUCAGGCUCACUCCCAAAUGAAUCACUGCCUUUUUUUUGAUCCAGCCUCUGGUCUGGAAAUCCUUACUUCAGGUCUCUUCAAGGAGAAGGAGGGGCCCAAUAUAGGAAGCACAGGCAUAUCUCCCCCUGCUGUGAAGCUGGUUUCAAACGUGAAGGAUCUGCCAGGUUCCGUCUCUUGGUUUGAAAGUUGAGAGAGGUUAAGAGCCUGGCAGAUGCCCAUGUGUGGCUGCUACGCAGCUGCUCCAGGUACACCUGCCAUGUCAUCUUCAUCCAGUCAUUGGUACCCAGGCAUAUGGAUCCAGGUUAACAUCCUCACACUUUGUAUUGCAGGAAAAUCUGAUGUUACUUUUGCCCUCGCUGGUCUUUACAUUCACCCAGCUGUGGCAAUGGGAUACAGGACUCCUUCCAAGCCCCUUGCAGAAUACCUUGCCUACCUUAGGUCCUAUACACAAAGCCCUGUAAGUCCUGGUACCCCAGGUACCAACUCUUCUUGGGUUGUGUCAGCUUGCAUGUAAGCAAAACCUGGUGUCCACACCAUAUCCCCACCAGACUGAAUUUGCCCAAGCUUAAAGCAUCUCCAUUCUCUAAGCAGGGGCAGCUCCUAGAGCCUUUGGCUUAAUAGGAGCCAAAGUCCCCAUGUUAACACAAAAAUGAAGGUAGGGAGCUUUCUCCACCACAGGUUAUCACCCAAAAGAUUUCUAUGCCAUGAGUCAUUAGCAGUGUAGCUGUAACUAUAACUCUGAAAUAAAGUAAUUUUCUAAAUUAUUGUGAAAGCAAGUUUCCUCACACACACACCCUUACCUGUAAGGCCAAAGUAAGCCAGCUUUUAAGAAGCACUGUUAAUUCUCCACUAUAAAGAGAGGUACAAUUUUUCAAGCAGGUAAUGGCAGUUUGCCCUAUGGCUGAAUAAAAAAAAUAAUGUUACUUGCCUAGUGAACAGCCUUGAAAGAACCAGUGUCUUAUAAGUAAAGAUGAAAAAUACUGGGUGAGAUGCAGCUGUUCAUUCAAACCCUCAUAAAGGUCAAUGAUAUUGUGUAGAGUGUGGCUUCUAAUGCAAACUGUAAAUAAUUCAUUGGAAUUUAUGGGAAGGGACCUUCCAAAGGUCUUGUGUGGUUUUCUCCCCCAGUUAGUAGAGGUCUGGGGGUUACUGGGCUGAGUAAGUUAGGCCCAGCAGCAGCAAUACUCCUGAACUAAGCCAGUGAUUCUCAGGGAUUUUAAGGGUGGAAUUAUUGGUGCAUGACAGUGCAUGGCCUUUUUGUCUCGGCAAGUCCUUUUGAUUUUUAAUUUUUUCCCCUUCCUUUUCACUUUGGAGAAAAGUGCUGGAAGUCCUGCCAACAGGCCAGCUGCUUUGUGAGCACACACACAGCACUGACAUCCUCCAUCCAUCCACCUGUUUGCAGCACCAGACAAAGCCAAGCUCUGGCCCCGCUGGUGGUGUGGAUGGCCCUGGGGCCAUGCUGUGGUUGGUGUGUGGUUACUCCAAUUUAGAAUUCCUCCUCGCUGUUAUUUACAAAUACCUUUUUCUCUCUCAGAUCUUCCGUUUGUGGCUAUACUUGCCCUCCAUCACCAAUGCUAGAAACUGCGCAACAGUUUUAGUUCUCCUUCCUGCCGUGGUAUUUGUAACUGACAGCAAUUAACGCCUUUCUGGAGCACGCUUUAUUCAUAUUCCUGUAACUGUAAAUACCACCCAGCAUGCGUGCUGGGCAGCUCUCACCUCAUCAUUGCCUUUGGGCCUGUCAGAGUUUGCAUUUUGUGGUCAGAGCAGAAACAGAGGGUGAGAUUAGCUGUCAGUGUUACCAUGGUUAGCUUAAACUCUCCCUGUGGUCACCAUUAAAGCCCCAUUCCUAAAACUGGAGGUUCCAACAGGAAAAAGAGGUAUAUUUUAAACAGUCUUUUAAUUUCCUCUCCUCUCCAAAGCAAUAUGGCUUUAAGAUCUACCUUUCCCCCCACUUUUUUAACCAAGAGGAGUAAUAUAUAUUAGAGAUAAGUACACCUGGAUUAUUUAUCUCUGAGACAGUCUUUGCCUUGUGGAGAGACACUUCAUUUUUCUUCUGUGCCUCAGUCUCCCCAUAACGGCUGUUUAGUUUUCUCAAAAACUUUCAUGGGAAGGUGCUCUCUGUGUGUAAAACAUUAUGGAAAAGGCUCUCCAGUCAUGUUCACUGGAGAGUGAUCUGAGCAGCCUUAUCUGGCAGACAGUGCUGUUGAUCUGCCUUGACCUUAGGUACCCUCCUCCAGCUUCGGUCCUAAGCUUGAGCCCUUUUCCUUUCACAGGACACUUUAUUUCAUAUGCAUGCUUUAUUUCUCAAGUGUUUUUAUGAACAAAGUUUCAAGCAUACCAAGGGAAAAAAUUACAUUUUGAAAGCAAAAAAAAUUUCCCUCACCCUUUUAAGUCUCCUGCCUUUGAAUGUUGCACAGAUUUUUGUUUGUUUUGUUUUGUUUCCUUACCAAAAGGAUAGCAUAUAGAUAUCUCACCCAUUUUCAACCUAGUGAAACUUGCCUCCCUGAAAGCCCCUUUUCAUCCCAAUCUAAAGUCCACCGACUAGACCUACUCAGACAAUUUUGUCAGGUUUGUGCCAGAUCUUUCCUGAAGGAUGACCUGCACAUC